rnacentral:rRNA from 1 species
UACGUAGGGGGCAAGCGUUGUUCGGAUUUACUGGGCGUAAAGGGCGCGUAGGCGGUCAGCACAAGUCAGUUGUGAAAUCUCCGGGCUUAACUCGGAAAGGUCAACUGAUACUGUGCGACUAGAGUGCGGAAGGGGCAACUGGAAUUCUCGGUGUAGCGGUGAAAUGCGUAGAUAUCGAGAGGAACACCUGCGGCGAAGGCGGGUUGCUGGGCCGACACUGACGCUGAUGCGCGAAAGCCAGGGGAGGCGAACGGG